AAACCACAGCCCCAACAUGUGCUCAUUUGUAAUCUGCCCUUGCAGUCAUCUACGUGAUUCACACCUGCAGCUCAACCUUUUACUGAAUGUGGGAUGAGAUGCAUUUUUGCACCAGUGGUUAAGUCCAGAUGCCUCUGAGCCAAUUUGUCUGCUGGUUACCUGGCUGAGGACUAUUGAGAAGCUUCAGUCUACUCCUAUUCCUGUUCUCAAAAGCACUGAAAAACUCCUCCAGCUCAGUGUAAGUACAGGCCAAAUUCACAUCACAUUGAUCAUGGCAUGACAAUAGCAGUCAC
rnacentral:lncRNA from 1 species